UCGAUCGUUUAGGUGAUUCAGCGCAGGGAGGACGGCUCGGUUAACUUCUUCAGGGGAUGGGAGUCAUACCGUGAAGGAUUUGGCAAAAUCACCGGAGAACACUGGCUAGGGCUGAAGCAGAUCCAUGCCCUGUCCAUCCAGGGGAACUAUGAGCUGCGCAUCGACUUGGAGGACUUUGAAAAUAGCACAGCGUACGCCCAUUACGGCACCUUCGGUGUGGGUCUCUUCUCUGUGGACCCUGAUGAUGAUGGAUACCCUUUGACGGUUGGAGACUAUUCUGGCAACGCAGGUAUGCGUCUUACGUAGGCUCUCGUUUUCUUGCGAGUUGUGCCGUGCUUUUGCUAUGACAAGACUCUUCAGACUGAAAUGUAGCUACUGCUAAAAACGGAAGCAGGGGACACCUACAACCGGCUCCUCCUCCAUUCUCCCUUCAACUGUGAUAGCAGUGCAGUAUUUUUACAGCGCAGGAGGCGUGUCCACUGCUUAAGGAGUGCAGUUUGUUCCACACACACACACACGCACACAGAGAGGGAGGGAGAGGUACAGAAAGUGGUGUUGUCUCUGCUCCCUAACCAUCAGAUCCAAGCCAGCUACCUGUCACCUUGAUUAAAUUACUGGCAAUUAAUUGCACAGCUUGACCUGCAGCGUAAACAAAAACCUGCCACUGAAAUGAAGAAGCAAUUUAAGGGUCCUGUGGGGAGCACCGCUUCGAGAACACCGAGAGAACGGGGACAAAUAUGAGAGACGCAGAAGGGAGGAGUCGGGUUGGAAGGAAAAGCCAGAGGAAGCAGGUGUACCGAGAGAUGAGCUGGGCUAAAUAAAAACCCGGAUAGUUCUGUCGACAGUGCCUUGCAAGACUGUUAAUGGAACACGUUUUAUUGGGAUUUUAUCUAAUGGAUAGCUGUGAAGUGGAAGAAAACGAUGCCUUGUUUUUUUGUUUUUUUUUAAUUCUUUCCAAAUAAAACUCUGAAAAGUUUGACCAGCAUUUUUGUUCCAUCCAACUUCAUGCUGAACUUAGCAUAACAUUCAUAAACUUUACUGAUUACCUGUAUGAUUCAUCCAAUAUCUCGGAUUUGAUUCAAAUAUAUAUAUACCUCUCUGUCUGAGAUCAUCAAAUCAAAACAUUUCAGUGGUCUUCCAAACUCGCGACCGUGGAUUGCGAUGCCCAAUCCUUCCUGCAGAGUUCAGACGUUCAAAUAGCAACUAGAGACAUUCUCACAAAUAAGACUUUUCGCUAAACCUGAGCUGUUACGACAUAAACUUUUGCUUGCUUGCUUCAGUAUUCGCAAAAAGUCCUGUGUGAUUGCAGUCCAUCUAUGCGAUUUCAAGCUCCCCAGACACCAUGUUGGCUUCCCUCCAGGUUUUGCUGCUAUUCUUAUUAGCACCAUUUGCUGCUGCUGUCCUUCUCUCCGAUCAGCCGACAGGUGCUCAUUUGCACCGUGAGCAGCUGGAUCGUAAUGGGCAUCAGAGGAGGCUGCCGGCCCCCUCAAACCACCAAGGUGACACCCGGUGCCUUGUAAAUGAGCCUUUAAGUGCCACUGUUGUUUUUUUCCUCCUCCCUACGCCCUCUGGACAUCAACCUGUUGUUGACACCACUGGGGGCCUUCCCAUCUCCCCUUUGCUCCGUUCACUAAAUAUUUUCCUGCUAACGGCAAAUUGGAUGG